GAAGAACUCGCAGUAUCGAAAAUUUAGUAGAUCCAAUAGAAGAACCCGAAAGAUACGCUCGCACUCGUCUUUUUCUCUAAAAGAUUAUAAGAGCAAUGGCUGAAGAACAAAACCAAAGACCUCUUAAAACUUAACCAUGCCUUCUAACGAAGAACCUCAUUCUAGUUUUGUAAACCCAACUAUUCCAGCUAAUAACUUUGAAUUAAAACCCUUUUUGUUGCAAAUAGUGCAACAAAACCAGUUUGUUGGUCUCCCUACUAAGAACCCGAACCAACAUUUAAAAG
rnacentral:lncRNA from 1 species